rnacentral:lncRNA from 1 species
UAGAGAUCAGUUCAGUCCAAACAGACCCCCCCUUUUCUGUUCAUCUCUCUCAUACACAACCCUAGCGCUGCCCCAUUUCCCACCGCUCUUAGCCGGCAGCGCCGGUCCCAAAUCACCCCAAAAUAACACCCUGUAACCCCAUAAACUCCUCAUACCUGAUUCACAAUUGGUUUCCCUCAAAUCUUCACCAUAUUCGUCGAAUCUUGAUUUUAAAAUAUGAACCCUAAAUGCCUAUUCUCAAGUUUGGUUGCAUGCAAGGCUAGGUCCCGAGUUUUGAGUUUUUCUAAGGCCGACUUACCUCAAAUAAUGAUGGUCGUUAGUUCUUGAAAAGGAACAGGCGAUUAACAUUAUUUUGGGUUGAGUUGGAAUACCAAUAUCGAGUCCGAGUUUAUUUGGGUAAGUUUCUGUAUUCCCUUUCGUUUCGUUUGUCUUAGUGUUAUUUCACAUCUGUUCUUUUCUCUUCUAUUUUUUUCCUUUCUUUCUCUGUAGGUUUAGGUUUCCUCUGUAAUUUGUUGAAUUUGUUUAGUGUCCUGAUUUUAGGUUCUUCUUUUCUAUUUGUUUUAUUUUCUUUUAGGAUUUUUAAUAACUUUGAUGCUUUGUGAAUUUUAGCUUCCAAUUUCUAUUAAUCGAUAACUAGUCUAGUUUAAAUCUGAUGUUAAUUUGAUAAUCCAGUCAAUUUUAGCUCAAUUUUUUUUAAUUUGUUUGAAAUCGUUUGAAUGCUAUUUCUUUUCUGAAUUCCAUGAAAUUACAAAAUGCUUUGGAUUAGUUGUUUGGGCUUUGGGUUUUUGACUCAUUUGCAAAAAGGAAGACAAUCCGUUUCAUUUAACUAAGUCAUUGGGUCAGCCUGACCCAUGGGUUUCAAGGGGUAAAAACAUAGCUCUUAGGGGGUAAUCUAGGAAAUCUAGGUAAAAGAAUAAUCUGUAACUAACUGAGGAAGCUUCUAGGAAGCUGGGGUGGGGACUAAAUUGAAGUUCUGAAUUUUACACUAAGGGUACCUAAGCUAAAAGAAAGAUUCCAAAAGGUUUCGAGUGUUAAAUUGAACUCUUUUAGGCAGCCCUAAGACCUUCAUAUAAAGGCACCAUUACUGGAGUUAAAAGAAGGAGGAGGAAAAAAUUGGAGAAAAAUUCUGAAAAAGAAACGACUGAGUAUUUCUGAGUAAAUUCUGAGAUAAUACUUGAAAUUCUAGGUUCUCUUUGUUGAAAUUGCUCAAAUCUCAUUAAGUUUCAGCUCCCUGGUCUCCUGUGUUGGUUUAAAAACUUCUGAAAAGGUUUUCAAAUCUGGGCAUUUGGGUGGAAAAAUGGAUUAAGCUUGGGUUUAGAAAUUUGAUUUGAGUUGCUUGGAAUUGGUUUGAAGCUUGGAUUUUUUUCAGUUGGUCAACACUGUUACAUUGCUGCUUAUACUGUUUUCUGCUGCUGAUCCUUCAUUGUUCUUAUUUUUUUUUUGCUUUCCAGGUAUUUUUUCAGCACUAUGGACAUCACUUGAGUGUAACGUGAAGUUUGAAUCUGAAAAAUAUGAUAAAAUCUAAUGUUGUUUGUUAUUGAAGCUUCAUUUCUCGUUCUUUCAAUUUCAUGCACAUCAUGUACUACUUAGUUUUAGGAAGAUUCCGACUAGUAUAUUCAUCAAUGAAUAGGAUGUAAUCGAAAUCUGUAAUCAGCUAACUCUCUUUGGAUAUGUCUUUUCACCUUUGUUUUAUUUUAAUAUUGGUUUUGUAAUAUUGAACAAAAUAUGGUUUAGCUGUUUAUCCUUCAUGGGUUUGAACUUUUCUGUUGACCAUGUAUUAGUCACCUCUGUUCCUGAUGAAUCAUCAUAGAAUAUAAGUUUUGGAAUUAGGGACUAUAGACUUCUCCGAUGUAAUUGAGGUGUAUGAGGAAGUUGAUUUGAAAAUUGGAUGAAGUCAUGUGGCAAAGUAUGGUAAUUGCUUAGUGCAGGUCAUAGGCUAGUUCUCAUGGUAUCUAGUUGGGGUUUAUCUCAAAUUUUAGCUUUACGUAAGUGUGAUUGUUCGGUUCGAAUCUAUUCUAGUGAGAUUACUGCUUAAAGUGCCCUACAACAGCUAUUUUAAUUCUCC